rnacentral:rRNA from 1 species
AGUGAACGCUGGCGGUAGGCCUAACACAUGCAAGUCGAACGGCAGCACAGUAAGAGCUUGCUCUUACGGGUGGCGAGUGGCGGACGGGUGAGGAAUACAUCGGAAUCUACUUUUUCGUGGGGGAUAACGUAGGGAAACUUACGCUAAUACCGCAUACGACCUACGGGUGAAAGCAGGGGAUCUUCGGACCUUUCGCGAUUGAAUGAGCCGAUGUCGGAUUAGCUAGUUGGCGGGGUAAAGGCCCACCAAGGCGACGAUCCGUAGCUGGUCUGAGAGGAUGAUCAGCCACACUGGAACGUAGACACGGGCCAGACUCCUACGGGAGGCAGCAGUGGGGAAUAGUGGACAAUGGGCGCAAGCCUGAUCCAGCCAUACCGCGUGGGUGAAGAAGGCCUUCGGGGUGUAAAGCCCUUUUGUUGGGAAAGAAAAGCAGCAGGUUAAUACCCCGCUGUUCUGACGGUACCCAAAGAAUAAGCACCGGCUAACUUCGUG